AAGUAAGAAGCAAAAAUUGCAAUCAGUUUCGACCUGAUCUUAGAUAAUAUUUACCCCUUAUCCUUACUUU
rnacentral:tRNA from 1 species